rnacentral:rRNA from 1 species
UACGAAGGGGGCUAGCGUUGCUCGGAAUCACUGGGCGUAAAGGGUGCGUAGGCGGGUUUUUAAGUCAGGGGUGAAAUCCUGGAGCUCAACUCCAGAACUGCCUUUGAUACUGAAGAUCUUGAGUCCGGGAGAGGUGAGUGGAACUGCGAGUGUAGAGGUGAAAUUCGUAGAUAUCGCAAGAACACCAGUGGCGAAGGCGGCUCACUGGCCCGGUACUGACGCUGAGGCACGAAAGCGUGGGGAGCAAACAGGG